UUCCUUGUUGGAUUCCAGAUGGGAUCGUAAGCUCGGAGAGGCUAGCAGGGCGCCAUCCGCCCCAGUUUAAAUCGAAGGGGCGGCGCGCGAGGCCGGCAGUCCAUAACGCGCAGCGCACGCUUUUCCGAACGUCCGCACCAAUUUUCCCGCACGAUUUCUGAACGAAGCUUUACUUUUCGCGCGCCGCAAAAGUUUUGAAUUUAGAAUUCGACGCGUAUCCAAAAAGAGAGAAAUUCCAACCGUCCACACCACAACGUAACAACGCACAUGCCACAACACUAGCAAUGAUCGUGUUUCACGUUGGCGACGGUGGUGUCAGGCCGCCAUGGACGCUAGUGCUGUACCUGGCUAGUGUUGUGCUCGCUAGUGAUGUGCUACCUGCCUCGGGGGAGAACUCGGAGACGGUGCCACUGACGGGGGUACAACUGGACACGCUCGCAGAGUUUGUGUGCUACGACUUGUCUAUGGACUCCUUGGUCGAUGUCGCUAUCUGCCAAAAGGAUUUUUUGAGUAAGUUGUUACCUAAAUAGCUCAUAACUUACUUAACGUUACUGGACGUAUUGGUUUCAAGAGUGUCGUAAAUUAACGAAAUAAUCUCUUAAUUCGGAUGAUUAACACUAGAGCUGGCGUAGGUUUGUCACUGUGGUGAAAGGAUUCGCCAGUCAUAUUAGUUGUUAAUCGCGGACUGCCCAUACGUGACCCUUGGCGGCUCCUUUCACACCACUAGGUACCUACUAGAAUCUAUAGAUGUGAAUGUUUCCUCACGAUAUUUUCCUUCACGCACCGUAAGAAUCCGUGUUAUAAUUUUACUAAAUUUUCUUAUUUUUAAUAAAUUUAUUGGGCUGGAUUCUAACCCCAGAAUUCAACUGUGUAUAAUAAAAUUAACAAACAACCUUACUCCAGGCGA